GCAUUGGUAGUUCAGUGUAGAAUUCUUGCCUUCCAUGUGGGAGACCAGAAUUUGAUUCCCGGCCAAUGCA
rnacentral:tRNA from 1 species